UAGCUCAGUUGAUAAAGAAUCUGCCUGCAAUGCAGAAGACCCGGGUUCGAUUCCUGG
rnacentral:tRNA from 1 species